rnacentral:rRNA from 1 species
UACGUAGGGGGCAAGCGUUGUCCGGAAUCAUUGGGCGUAAAGAGCGUGUAGGCGGCCAGAUAAGUCCGCUGUGAAAUCUCGAGGCUCAACUUCGAGCUGUCGGUGGAAACUGUCUGGCUAGAGUCCGGAAGAGGAGAAUGGAAUUCCUGGUGUAGCGGUGAAAUGCGCAGAUAUCGGGAAGAACACCCGUGGCGAAGGCGGUUCUCUGGGCAUUACCUGACGCUGAGGAGCGAAAGUGUGGGGAGCGAACAGG